GACGAACGCUGGCGGCGUGCUUAACACAUGCAAGUCGAACGGAAAGGCCCUGCUUUUGUGGGGUGCUCGAGUGGCGAACGGGUGAGUAACACGUGAGUAACCUGCCCUUGACUUUGGGAUAACUUCAGGAAACUGGGGCUAAUACCGGAUAGGAGCUCCUGCUGCAUGGUGGGGGUUGGAAAGUUUCGGCGGUUGGGGAUGGACUCGCGGCUUAUCAGCUUGUUGGUGGGGUAGUGGCUUACCAAGGCUUUGACGGGUAGCCGGCCUGAGAGGGUGACCGGCCACCUUGGGACUGAGGUACGGCCCAGACUCCUACGGGAGGCAGCGGUGGGGAAUAUUGCACAAUGGGCGGAAGCCUGAUGCAGCGACGCCGCGUGCGGGAUGACGGCCUUCGGGUUGUAAACCGCUUUCGCCUGUGACGAAGCGUGAGUGACGGUAAUGGGUAAAGAAGCACCGGCUAACUACGUG
rnacentral:rRNA from 1 species